UACAGAGGGUGCAAACGUUGUUCGGAAUCAUUGGGCGUAAAGCGCGCGUAGGCGGUUACUUAAGUUGGAUGUGAAAGCCCUCGGCUUAACUGAGGAAGUGCAUCCAAAACUGAGUAGCUAGAGUACGAAAGAGGGUCGCGGAAUUCCCGGUGUAGAGGUGAAAUUCGUAGAUAUCGGGAGGAACACCGGUGGCGAAGGCGGCGACCUGGGUCGAGACUGACGCUGAGGCGCGAAAGCUAGGGGAGCAAACGGG
rnacentral:rRNA from 1 species